rnacentral:rRNA from 1 species
UUAAGAAGGACUUAAAUCGUUAAUUUCUCAUACUAGAAUAUUGAUGUUCCUUACACUGCAUCUCACAUUUGCCAUAUAGACAAAGUGACUUAGUGCUGAACUGAUUUCUUUUCGCUCGCCGCUACCGGGU